UACGUAGGGUCCAAGCGUUAUCCGGAAUUACUGGGCGUAAAGAGUUCGUAGGCGGAUUUUUAAGUCGGGUGUUAAAUAUGCAGGCUCAACUUGCAUGCUGCAUCCGAUACUGGGAGUCUUGAGAGUGGAAGAGGUAAGCGGAAUUUCCGGUGGAGCGGUUAAAUGCGUAGAUAUCGGAAAGAACACCAAUGGCGAAGGCAGCUUACUGGGCCAUUUCUGACGCUGAGGAACGAAAGCGUGGGGAG
rnacentral:rRNA from 1 species